CUAACGUCCGUCGUGAAGAGGGAAACAACCCAGACCGCCAGCUAAGGUCCCAAAGUCAUGGUUAAGUGGGAAACGAUGUGGGAAGGCCCAGACAGCCAGGAUGUUGGCUUAGAAGCAGCCAUCAUUUAAAGAAAGCGUAAUAGCUCACUGGUCGAGUCGGCCUGCGCGGAAGAUGUAACGGGGCUAAACCAUGCACCGAAGCUGCGGCAGCGACGCUGAUGCGUUGUUGGGUAGGGGAGCGUUCUGUAAGCCUGUGAAGGUGGCCUGUGAGGGUUGCUGGAGGUAUCAGAAGUGCGAAUGCUGACAUAAGUAACGAUAAAGCGGGUGAAAAGCCCGCUCGCCGGAAGACCAAGGGUUCCUGUCCAACGUUAAUCGGGGCAGGGUGAGUCGACCCCUAAGGCGAGGCCGAAAGGCGUAGUCGAUGGGAAACGGGUUAAUAUUCCCGUACUUGGUGUUACUGCGAAGGGGGGACGGAGAAGGCUAUGUUGGCCGGGCGACGGUUGUCCCGGUUUAAGCGUGUAGGUGUGUGUUCCAGGUAAAUCCGGUUCACUUUAACACUGAGGCGUGAUGACGAGGCACUACGGUGCUGAAGCAACAAAUGCCCUGCUUCCAGGAAAAGCCUCUAAGCAUCAGGUAACAUCAAAUCGUACCCCAAACCGACACAGGUGGUCAGGUAGAGAAUACCAAGGCGCUUGAGAGAACUCGGGUGAAGGAACUAGGCAAAAUGGUGCCGUAACUUCGGGAGAAGGCACGCUGACACGUAGGUGAAGUGAUUUACUCACGGAGCUGAAGUCAGUCGAAGAUACCAGCUGGCUGCAACUGUUUAUUAAAAACACAGCACUGUGCAAACACGAAAGUGGACGUAUACGGUGUGACGCCUGCCCGGUGCCGGAAGGUUAAUUGAUGGGGUCAGCGCAAGCGAAGCUCCUGAUCGAAGCCCCGGUAAACGGCGGCCGUAACUAUAACGGUCCUAAGGUAGCGAAAUUCCUUGUCGGGUAAGUUCCGACCUGCACGAAUGGCGUAAUGAUGGCCAGGCUGUCUCCACCCGAGACUCAGUGAAAUUGAACUCGCUGUGAAGAUGCAGUGUACCCGCGGCAAGACGGAAAGACCCCGUGAACCUUUACUAUAGCUUGACACUGAACAUUGAGCCUUGAUGUGUAGGAUAGGUGGGAGGCUUUGAAGUGUGGACGCCAGUCUGCAUGGAGCCGACCUUGAAAUACCACCCUUUAAUGUUU
rnacentral:rRNA from 1 species